rnacentral:rRNA from 1 species
GAGUUUGAUCGUGGCUCAGGAUGAACGCUGGCGGCGUGCCUAAUACAUGCAAGUCGAGCGAACGGACGAGAAGCUUGCUUCUCUGAUGUUAGCGGCGGACGGGCGAGUAACACGUGGAUAACCUACCUAUAAGACUGGGAUAACUUCGGGAAACCGGAGCUAAUACCGGAUAAUAUUUUGAACCGCAUGGUUCAAAAGUGAAAGACGGUCUUGCUGUCACUUAUAGAUGGAUCCGCGCUGCAUUAGCUAGUUGGUAAGGUAACGGCUUACCAAGGCAACGAUGCAUAGCCGACCUGAGAGGGUGAUCGGCACACUGGAACUGAGACACGGUCCAGACUCCUACGGGAGGCAGCAGUAGGGAAUCUUCCGGCAAUGGGCGAAAGCCUGACGGAGCAACGCCGCGUGAGUGAUGAAGGUCUUCGGAUCGUAAAACUCUGUUAUUAGGGAAGAACGAU